UACAGAGGGGGCAAGCGUUGUUCGGAAUUACUGGGCGUAAAGGGCGCGUAGGCGGCCUGCUAAGUCGAACGUGAAAUCCCUGGGCUCAACCCAGGAACUGCGUCCGAUACUGGUUGGCUUGAAUCCGGGAGAGGGAUGCGGAAUUCCAGGUGUAGCGGUGAAAUGCGUAGAUAUCUGGAGGAACACCGGUGGCGAAGGCGGCAUCCUGGACCGGCAUUGACGCUGAGGCGCGAAAGCCAGGGGGAGCAAACGGGG
rnacentral:rRNA from 1 species